rnacentral:rRNA from 1 species
AGAGUUUGAUCAUGGCUCAGAAUGAACGCUGGCGGCAGGCCUAACACAUGCAAGUCGAACGGGUCCUUCGGGACUAGUGGCGGACGGGUGAGUAACGCGUGGGAACAUACCCUUUGGUACGGAAUAGCCUCGGGAAACUGGGAGUAAUGCCGUAUGUGGUCGAGAGACGAAAGAUUUAUCGCCAAAGGAUUGGCCCGCGUUGGAUUAGGUAGUUGGUGGGGUGAUGGCCUACCAAGCCGACGAUCCAUAGCUGGUUUGAGAGGAUGAUCAGCCACACUGGGACUGAGACACGGCCCAGACUCCUACGGGAGGCAGCAGUGGGGAAUCUUAGACAAUGGGGAAACCCUGAUCUAGCCAUGCCGCGUGAUCGAUGAAGGCCUUAGGGUUGUAAAGAUCUUUCAGGUGGGAAGAUAAUGACUGUACCACCAGAAGAAGCCCCGGCUAACUCCGUG